GGGGGUACAGCUCAGCGGUAGAGUGCUGGCUUAGCAUGCAGGAGGCCCUGAGUUCAAUCCCCAGUACUACCA
rnacentral:tRNA from 1 species